rnacentral:rRNA from 1 species
UUUUAUUUGAGUUUGAUGAUGGCUCUGAGUGAACGCUAUGUAAAUGCUUGACACAUGCUAAUCGAACGUCAAUAUUUAAUUUGUAUAAAUUAUGUAUAUUGAAGUGGUGUACAGGUGAGUAAGUGGUAUUAUGGCUACCUAAGAGUAAGGCAAAAUAAAUCCCUUAUAAUAACCAUUUAUUAUUAGUUAUUAACACUAGAUCUAAUCACCCAGUGGUCGAUUAUAUUGAAAAGUUUAGAUAUAAAGGUUAAUAAUAUUAAUACUAAAUGUGUUUAAAAGAAAUAGUAUUUCGCUCUUAGUUGAUUAUUAAUAACCAUCGGAUAAGUAGUAAGUAUGGUAAUGGCAUAUUUAGCUUGUGUCCGUAGUCAAGACUGAGAGGUCUAUUGACCACACUGGGUCUGAAAAAACCCCAGUGCGUGUAGUACAGCAGUGAGGAAUUUUGGUCAAUGGCCUAACGGCUGAACCAGCAACUUGCAGGAAUGAGAGUUAAUAUAAUAAGUUUAUUAACUUGCUUGACUAGGUCUUAUAAAGUUCUGGAUAAAGCUUAUUAUGAAAACUUUAUAUCCAUAGGUCUCGACCAAAUCUUGUGCCAGCAGUCGCGGUAAGACAAGGGAGACGAGUGUUAUUCAUCUUUAACAGGUAUAUAGGGUACCUAGACGGUGUGCAAUGGCUUAAAUAAGUACCUGGUACACUUGAGUUUGAUAUGUGAGAGGAAUAUGUCGGAAUUGUUGGAGGAAAGAUGAAAUUUGUUAAUACCAAUAGGACUGAUAACGGCGAAGGCAAACCUCUAUGUACAUGUACUUGCUAUCUCUCUAUUAGAGAGGAACAGAAAUUUCUCUUAUAAAAAAUCUUAUAUAAAAAAAGAGGAAAACAGCAAUGUGCUAUAACUGACGUUGAGGGACGAAGGCUCAGAGAGUGAAGAGGAUUAGAUACCCCCGUAACCUGGGCAGACAAUGAUGAGUGCCAUAGGUUGGCUUUAAGGCGGAACUAUAAAUGAAAGUGGAAGCACUCCACCUCAAGAGUAAUGUGGCAACGCAGGAACUGAAAUCAUUAGACCGUUUCUGAAACCAGUAGUGAAGUAUGUUAUUUAAUUCGAUGAUCCGCGAAUAACCUUACCACAAUUUGAAUGACCUAAAAUAUUUUUUUUGAAUUUUUAGACCACAUGCGUUGCAUGGCUGUCUUCAGUUAAUGUCGUGAGAUUUGGUUAGGUCCAUUAAAUUAACGUAAACCCUUGUUUUAUUUAUUACAAUAAAGCAGCUCUCCGCUUACAAUUGGAUGUGAUAAUAGGGACUAAGACAAGUCAUCAUGGCCUUAAUAUUGUGGGCUAUAGACGUGCCACAUGUGCCUUUACAAAGGGAUGCAAUAAUGCGAAUUGGAGCUAAUCCCUAAAAUAGGAUAAAGUAUGGAUUGUAGUCUGAAAUUCGACUGCAUGAAAAAGGAAUUACUAGUAAUCGUGAGUAAUCACAUCACGGUGAAUUUUAUCUCAGAUAGGUACUAACCACUCGUCAGGCGCUGAAAGGAGUAUGUGCAAUAAGUUUGGUGGCUGCGGAUUGCUAGUCUAAAUGUACAGGUUUAGAUCUUUUGGCAGAAAUAUCUUCGUAUGCGUGACUCUAAUUGGUGUUAAGUCGAAAACCAAAAAGAAAUUGAGACCUUCUUUUUAUUUUUCUAAAAAUACCAAAUUCCGGGAAUACCCUAAAGCAGUUUAUGCCAAGUCUACGUAUGAAACAAUAAAAGUAGAUGGCCUUUCGUAAUGGAAAGGGUAUGGCAAUAAUUUAACUGAUGAAUCGAAAGAUUGAAUGGGCUACCGCGGAUCUAAAUUGACUCUAUCUUAAGUAUUAUUAUGUAUAGUAGAUAGAUCAUAAAAGAGCAACGAGCAGAUGGUAUUUGUAGGUCCACUGAUUACAGAUAGUGUAAUCGAAAACGGAAGUAAUUUUACUACAUUAGUAUGAAUUUUAUUUCCGAAGUCUAGGUUCUGAAUAGUUCCAAGGUGGAAUAUUAAGGUAUGCUCUAAAUAAAGUAAAAAAACUUUAAUUUACUUCGUCUCAGAUCUAAAUACAAGGUAAAUACUUUGUACAUGGUCGAAGAAGUAUUAGCUGAUACGGUUCGGGUUGGGGAACUAGCCCGGGAUAAAUGAACAUUAACGAUACACCCAAAAAAAAAAAAAAAGAGCUCGAUUUAGUCUGGAAGGAGUUAGGUAUAGCUAACCAAUUUAAGGGUGCAAAUCCCUUAGCUCUUACAUGAAAAGAAUAAUAUUUAGAAUAUGAUAUAAUUACAAUUUGGUUAGCGUAAUGCUAUUUAUUUUUGUGGGCUUUGUUUUUGUCCCUUAUUUUCGGCCGUCUCUAUUUGGACUCUCAGAUGAUAUUGUUUUACUUUCAACUUUACCUGUUGUAGUAAAAGGAGGUAAUGAAUUACACAAUGAAUAUGUGGUGGGAUUAUGUGAUGCGGAGGCCACGUUUACUAUCUCUGUUGCAAAAGAUAAUCGAACAAGAAAAACCUCUCGUUCAUUAGAUAGUUCUAGAACUAUUUACUCUGUUCAUCCUUCUUUUGCUAUUUCUUUGAAUAUUAAAGAUUGACACCUUAUUUGUAGUUUACAGUCAUUUUUUGGAGUAGGUAAUAUAAAAAAAGAUUUAAAGAAUAAUGCUAUUACUUUUUAUGUUAAUUCCGUGGAGGAUUUAUUGAAUGUGGUGAUUCCUUUCUUUAAAGCCCAUCCUUUACUUUCUCGUUUUUUUUUUCGACGUAAUUUAGAUGAAAUUACUAUCCCUGCGGGAUGAGCCCCAUCGGGGAUCUUCCCGGGAGAAAAGGGCUAGAAAAAAAAAAAUAAAGUGAGCAGAUUUUGUUUUAUUUGAAAAAGCUGUUUAUUUAAUUAAACAGGGUGCACAUCUUACAACAGACGGUCUUACUAAUAUCAUAAGUAUUAAAGCUUCUAUGAAUAAAGGUUUAUCUGAUAAAUUAUUGGCUCAAUUUCCCGACAUAUCUUUAGUGGAGAGACCUGUGCUAAUAGAUAGAAGGAUUAUAAAUGGUAAUUGAUUAGCAGGUUUUACUUUAUUUUUUUUUCUUUUGCUUUAAAUCCACAACGAAUCAUGAGCAAAAGAAAAAAAAAAAUCAGGAGAAGGAUCUUUCUAUAUACGUAUUAAGGAGGCUAUUUCUGCAAAAAGUAUUAACCGUGUUUCCUUUUUCUUUUCUAUAAACCAGUCCAUUAGAGAUAGUGAUUUAAUUUAUGAUAUAUCUAAGUUUUUAGAUUGUGGUACUGUAAGCAGUAAUCAAAAAUAUAUUCAAUUUAGAGUAACUAAAUUUGAAGAUGUUGAAACAAAGAUUAUUCCAUUCUUUAAAAAUUACCCUAUGCAUGGUAUUAAAAACUUAAAUUACCUCUCCCAGCGGGAGCUCCUUAGAGCUCCUGCGGAGCUCCGCAGGAGAGAUCUUUGUAAAAUUAUGGAAUUGGUACAAUCUAAAGUUCAUAUGACUACAAAAGGUAUAAAUGAAAUUAAAACUAUAAAAGAAGGUAUGAAUUUUGGUAGAACGUAAUACUUAUAUUAACCGUUUUUUAAUAGACGCGUAUAUACUUAUGUACCAAUCAUACAUCUUUACUCAUCUACUGAAAUAGGUAUUGUUUUUAUUUUUUUUGUUCGGGUUGGGGAACUAGCCCGGGAUUAAUGAAUAUU